rnacentral:lncRNA from 1 species
UCUUUUCAAUGGGUUGGAACAAUUUUACUUUAACUCAUUAAGAAUUAUCAAUCUUGAGCAAUCCUAGUGAGCUCUCACAAUCCACCAGUGACACCUAGCAGUAUGUAGUGGCAACCCAAUAGAACUGAAAAAGAACCUCAAGAUGUAGUUCGCAUGUAAUUCAAUCCCUCUAUCAUGAGUCCCGACUAGAUGGUAGAUCAUUGAUAAAUCGUCAAACCUCAUCAUCAGUC